AACGAACGCUGGCGGCAUGCCUAACACAUGCAAGUCGAACGAGACCUUCGGGUCUAGUGGCGCACGGGUGCGUAACGCGUGGGAACCUGCCCUUAGGUUCGGAAUAACUCCCCGAAAGGGGUGCUAAUACCGGAUAAUGUCUUCGGACCAAAGAUUUAUCGCCUUUGGAUGGGCCCGCGUUGGAUUAGCUAGUUGGUAGGGUAAAAGCCUACCAAGGCGACGAUCCAUAGCUGGUCUGAGAGGAUGAUCAGCCACACUGGGACUGAGACACGGCCCAGACUCCUACGGGAGGCAGCAGUGGGGAAAAUUGGACAAUGGGCGAAAGCCUGAUCCAGCAAUGCCGGGUGAGUGAUGAAGGCCUUAGGGUUGUAAAGCUCUUUUACCCGGGAUGAUAAGGACAGGACCGGGAGAAUAAACUCCGGCUAACUCCGG
rnacentral:rRNA from 1 species